UAUGGAUUUUUAAAACAUUUAAUACAACUUAUAUAUGCUUCUUCCAUGGCAGACUGGAAUAAAAACAUUUAAUCAAUUUAUAUAUAUACACAUGCAUGGGAAUGAUCAUACAAAUAUAUAUAUAUAUAUACACACACACACACACGUAUGAGAAUGAUAAACAGCACAUUUAGGACAGUGGUUACUUCUUGGAAGGUAUAUUAGUUCAUAUUGCAUAACAAAUUAACAAAUUACCCCAAAAUUCAGGAGCUCAAAACAUAAUCCAGACAUGGCUUCGCUGAGUCUUUUGUUUCAGGGUUUCUUCCAAGGCUGCAAUCAAGGUGUCAGCCAGGGGUUCAGUCUUACCUGAAGACUUAACCAGGAGGAUCUGCUUCCAAGUUCACUCACAUGGUUGUUGUCAGGAUUUGGCUCUUUGUGGGCUGUUGGACGAAGGACUCAGUUCUUCACAAGGUGUUGGCUAGAGGCUUCCCUUGAUUCCUUGCCAUGUGGGCCACCCCAUAGAGCAUCUCACAACGUGGCAGCAGGCUUCAUCAGAAUGAACGAGUGAGAGUGCUGGCAGGAUGGAAGUCAAAGUCUUUUGCAACCUAAUUACAGAACUGACAUCCCACAACUUUUGUCAUAUUUUAUUCAUUAGAAGCAAGUCGCUAAGUCCAGCCACAGUCGGGGGAGGGGGAUGACACAAGGGCAUGAAUACCAGAAGACAGGGUUCAUUGAGGGUCAUCUUUCAAAGCUGCUAGUAAAAGCAGAGGAUGGCGGGGCACAGCAGCUCACACCUGUAAUCCCAGCACUUUGGGAGGCCGAGACAGGUGGGUCACUUGAGAUCAGGAGUUUGAGACCAGCCUGUACAACAUGGUGAAACCCCGUCUCUACUAAAAAUACAAAAAUUAGCUGAGUGUGGUGGCAAGCAGUAAUCCCAGCUACUUGGGAGGCUGAGGCAGGAGAAUUGCUUGAACCUGGGAGAUGGAGGUUGCAGUGAGCCGAGAUCGCGCCACUGCACUCCAGCCUGGGUGACAGAGCAAGACUCCGUCUCAAAAAAAAAAAAACUUUUUUUUUAAAUAAAAGCAGAGGAUGUUAGUAAAAUAAUUCUAGUUGUGUGGGUACUUCAACUAUAUCUGUAACAUUUUCUUGCUUAAGUUAUGGGUAUUUAUGCACAUGGGUAUUUAUAAUGGUUUUUAUAUACCAUUUGCAGGUCUGAAAUAUUUCAUAAUAAAGAAAAAAGAGAAAAAAUUAAAGUUCAGUGGACCUAAUCUCUGAAUCUGUUGAAGAUAGUUGUUCAGAGAAGGGGAAGGGUCCAGGGAUUUGAGGGUUGGUAGCCUUGUUUCUACUUUUAGUUAAAGCUUCCUAGGUGCUCUCUAGUUAGCAUCAAUGCCUUCUCCCAUAUUAUGCAAUAGCAUAUCUCAUAGUCUGUCUUACAUUAAUAUUAUUUAUAUAUAUAUAUAUAUGUGUGUGUACUGUCGUGUAUGUGUGUGUGUGUGUGUGUGUGUGUGUGUGUGUGUGUGUGUGUGUCUAUCUAUACCCCUCCUAGGGAUUGUCAGGUUCUGGAAAGUUCAGACCUUAUAGAAUUUUAUUUGUCUUUCUAUCCUAUAUCACCUAUCUAUCCCCCUCCUAGGGAUUGUCAGGUUCUGGAAGGUUCAGACCUUAUAGAAUUUUAUUUGCCUUUCUAUCCUAUAUCACCUAGCACUGUGCUUUAUACAUAGUAGGUGCUCAGUAAGUGCUUGCUAAAGUUAAGUGGACUUAAUGCUUCCCCACCCCAUUUUGGCACUUGUGUUAACAUUUUAAAAUGUAUUAUAUCCUAGUAUAUGUUAGGACCAUAACUACAGGGCGAAAUAAAAGACAGAUAUCCCUUUGUCAUCAGUAUUAAAGAGACAGAGCAAGAAAAAAUAAUUAGUUGCCCAUACAAUGUGGUGAAGUACUCCAAAAUCCUCUCCCAAAUAAUACGUUCCCCACCACUGGAGCCUACUUUUCCUUUAUUGUAGAAUUCUUUCUUUAGGUUAAGGCAUUCUUUCCAGGAGCUCUCUGCUAAACUACAAAUAAUCUUCAAAUGAAACUACAUCAACCUCAUUGCAUUAGACCUUAGUACCAUAUUUCUUAAUUUUUUUGGGGGGGAGGAUACUGAUCUCUUCGAGAAUUGAAAGAAUCCUUUGAAUACCCCCACUCCGAAUGCAUAACAUUUUACUUUCAAGUGAUGAUUCAUGAACUUUCUAGAGGAACUUCUUUUGCUUAAAAAGAUUGAGUUGUGGCCUUGAGGGAACAAAUACCCACACUUGGAUAUUUUACGUCUGAGGGACCAUAGAGGAGGAAUAGUGAUUGGGAAGUGGGAGCAUUGCCUAGAGAGAAUUAGGUGGGGCAUUUCUUUUUUUUUUUUUUUUUUUGAGAUGGAGUCUUGCUCUGUCGCUGAGGGUGGAGUGCAGUGGCGCGAUUUCAGCUCACUGCAACUUCUGCCUCCCGGGUUCACGGCAUUCACCUGCCUCGGCCUCCUGAGUAGCUGGAACUACAGGCAACUGCCACCAUGCCCGGCUAAUUUUUUUAUAUAUUUUUAGUAGAGACGGGGUUUCACCGUGUUAGCCAGGAUGGUCUCGAUCUCCUCAACUCGUGAUCCACCCGCCUCGGCCUCCCAAAGUGUUGGGAUUACAGGCAUGAGCCACCGCGUCUGGCCUAAAAGUGGGGCAUUUCAACACGAAAAGGACCCAGGCACCCCUAAAGUAGCAAUCAUGACUGAAAGUGCAUGCUUGGAUUUUUUUUUAAGUCUUGAUAUUAGAAGGACAACAGAAAUUAUAGUAGUUGUAGUUGCUGAAAAUUUCAUUUUCUGAAACUUUAGGAAGUUCUGGGUGAGGUCAGAAACCCUAGGCAUCAUUAUUCAUGUCCAGAAACGGUGUUAAUCAUGUACAUACUCAGAAUGCAGAGUUUCCUCACAAUAUUAAUACGCUUUAUGAUUACACUACUCAUGAUUCACGUAGCAGAAUAAAAUCCAUCACUUUAGGAUAAACUGUUAAUAGCUGUUGAGGGGAAAUAAAGAUGACAGCUGUGUACUUGCUCUGUACAACUUAGAGUGGCAUCUUCCAAAAUAGUAAUUCCAAACUUUAAGCAGAAAAUUCAGUUUAACUAAGUAGACCUGGAACAAAUGCCAAAUAUAGUACAUGGCCCCAAUUACCAUUGCCAUAUUCUGUUUCUCUUUCAGAAGAAAACACAUCUGGGGCUCCACUACAGAUUUCUUCUUAAGAAUUGAUAUAGUAACUGGCCGGGCAGGGUGGCUCAUGCCUGCAAUCCCAGCACUUUGGGAGGCCAAGGCGGGCAGAUCACCUGAGGUCAGGAGUUCAAGACCAGCAUGGCCAACAUGGUGAAACCCCAUCUCUACUAAAAAUACAAAAAAAAAAAUUAGCCAGGUGUGGUGGCGGGCACCUGUAAUCCCAGCUACUCGGGAGGCUGAGGCAGGAGAAUUGCUUGAACCCGGGAGGCGGAGGUUGCAGUGAGCUGAGAUCACUCCGUUGCACUCCAGCCUGGGCGACAAAAGUGAAACUCAGUCUCAUAAAAAGAAAAUAAAGAAUUGAUAUAGUAACCUUACCUUCUUCUCUUGUGAAAGAGAACUCUUUCAACAAACACCCUACCUCCUGCUUGCCCCUUGGGCCCAGAGAACACAGCAUGUCAUUUUGGAAGGGUUGCUGGCCCACACUAUUUCUCUUUGCAAUUACUUUAAUUCCCCCAAAUAAUCCCUUGACUUCUUUGAACUUCUCAGAAGAGAAACUGAAAAGUGUGCAGGAACAUAUAUGUAACCACAUUGUUUCAUACUACACUUAGUACUUCAAGUCCAUUUUCUUCACCAAGUGAAGCCUUUGCAGAAUUCAUAAAGGAGGGCCUGAAAUAAGCCCUGAAAGGGUUUUAAAGUUCUUAAAAGUUCACAGUCUGGUGCAGUGGCUCAUGCCUGUAAUUCCAGUACUUUGGGAGGCUGAAGUGGGAGGAUGGCUUAAAGCCAAGAGUUGGAGACCAGCCUGGGCAACAUAGCGAGACCCCAUCUCUACAAAAAAAUUAAAAAAUAGCCAGGCAUGGUGGUACAAGUCUGUGGUCCAAGCUACUCAGGAGGCUGAGGCAGGAGAAUCCCUUGAGCCCAGGAGGUCAAGGCUGUAGUGAACCAUGAUUGCACUACUGCACUCCAGCCUUGGCAACAGAGUGAGACCCAAGUCUCAAGAAAAAAAAGUCCACAGAAAUAAGAUUUACCAAAUGUUCAAAAAUAAUUAUGAUGAAUCACAAUCGUGAAGAAACAGUUUUCUGUCUUUAUUACAAAGUUAUUUUUGAAGUGUUUCUUCAUGAAUCAUACAAAAUAGCUGAUUGCAAUAUAUAUUGUCAUCUUCAUAACUACUUCUGAGAGAGAAAAACUCUAGUUAAAAAAAGGAAACCAAUAUUUUAAUUGAAAAAUAUUUUCUGGGCCAGGUGCGGUGGCUCACGCCUGUAAUCCCAGCACUUUGGGAGGCCGAGGCGAGCAGAUCACAUCUGCAUCUCCAUCACAUCAGGAGAUGGAGACCAUCCUGGCUAACAUGGUGAAACCCUGUCUCUACUAAAAAUACAAAAAAUUAGCCUGGCGUGGUGGCAGGCACCUGUAGUCCCAGCUACUCGGGAGGCUGAGGCAGGAGAAUGGCGUGAACCCGGGAGGCAGAGCUUGCAGUGAACCGAGAUCGCACCACUGCACUCCAGCCUGGGUGACAGAGCGAGACUCCGUCUCAAAAAAAAAAGGAAAAAUAUUUUCUGCACAGUAAAAUAAAUGACACAGUAAUGAAAGAAACAAUAUACUUCCCAAAUGUAGAUUAUGUCAUUAUUAAAUAAUUCUCUUCUUAAAUUUUGAUUCAAUUUUAAUCCACAGUAAAGCUGUAAGUUAUUUUGGUAAAGUGGCAAGCCCUUCUAGAUUAUUCACUUCAAGGAUCAGAGCAGCAUUAUGUCUUUGUUCUUGAAAGUGGAAUUGGUUUUUUUUAAAAGAUAGAGACAUAUUAAUGAUAGAGUCUAUGAAUUCUCUGUCCAGAAUGGAUUCUAUUCAGAGCGAUGCGUGGUACAUUAAAUACUUUCACAGGCAUUAACAUCACAUAUCAUUACUUUGUUUAAAAAACAAAUGGGGCCAGCCAGGCCCUAUUUCUAAGUAUAUUACGUGGUUGACUCAAUUAAUCUCACAACGAUCUUAGGAGGGAAGUACUGUUUAAUCUACAUUUUACAAAUGAGGAAACAGAGGUACCCACUGGUUGAGUAACUUGUCCAAGGCUAUACAGCUAAAUAAAUUGCACAGCCAGGACUUGAACCCAAGCAGUCCAGCUCCAGAGUAAUGCUCUUAACCUCUAAAGGUAUGCUCUGCUGCCUAGAGUAUGUAUUCAAUAAUUAUCAUGGCAAAUAUUUAUUUGACUAUUCUCCAGACACAUGUUGUAACUUAAACAUAUAAAUGAAUGUAGUCCUUCAAAGAUGUUGCCCUGGCCGGGUGCGGUGGCUCACUCCUGUAAUCCCAGCACUUUGGGAGGCGGAGGCGGGCGGAUUAUGAGGUCAGGAGAUUGAGACCAUCCUGGCUAACAUGGUGAAGCCCAGUCUCUACUAAAAAUACAAAAAAUUAGCUACUCGGGAGGCUGAGGGAGGAGAAUGGUGUCAACCCGGGAGGCAGAGCUUGCAGUGAGCCGAGAUCGCGCCACUGCACUCCAGCCUGGGCGACAGAGCGAGACUCCAUCUCAAAAAACAAACAAACAAACAAAACAAAACAAAAACAAAAAACCGAAGAUGUUGCCCUGGGAAGCUUCUAUUGUUCAGAACCUUUUGUAAUUCCUCCUUUGGAGUUGUUCUCAGAGCCAGUCUAUGAAUCAGAGAAGAAAAGUGGUCAAUAUAUUAUGAUCAUAACUCAUUUUUAAAUAAGCUAGAUGAAUACCUUAUGUGCCCAACUUGUUUCUGAAUAACAUUUGUUUUCCAAAAAUCAUUCUCCAUUAAAAGAAUGAAAAUUUUCUGUUGUUGAAGAUGGUCCAAAAAUGUGAUGCAGAGAUAUUUUUCAAUCAACUAACAAAUAUUUACUGAGCAACUAGUCCUGUACAUGCUUGGCCCCAGGGGUACAAAAACCACAGAAGACAUCCUCCCUAUCUUCAGGGAGCACUCAGCCAGGUGAAGGAGAAAGAUAAUCCAGUAUGACAAGUGCUUUGACUGACGCAAGCACAGGAGCCCAGAAGAGGGGCAUGAAACCCAGCUUUAGGAGUGAGGGCCAGCUUCCUGAAAGAAGGAAGUAAUGUCUAAUUUUAGUCCCAAAAGACAAGCAGUUGUUGCCACACCAAUAGAACAAAGGCAUGGACUCUCAUGGUGGCUACAUUAAAGGGGAGAUUAUAUCUUUGAGUGAGUACACCCUAUUAUGUUUGUUGUUAAAAGAUAAUAAUCACUUUAUUUUGUAGUCAUACCUGGUACUCAAGUUGUUUUUGCCUUAAAACUGAAAAUAUUUGUAGAUAGUGGUUUAAAAGCUACAUGAGUUUUAAGUAUGUUUGAGUGUUGUUUGCUUUUGUUACUGAACCAGUUACAUAAGUUUCCCUAAAGAAUUUUGCUGAAGGAGUAAACAGAAAACAAAAUGAUACAUUAAGAAGUUAAUUAUAUCAGAAUCUACCACAGUGGGUUAAUAGGUAUAGUAUAUAGCAGGCACAUGAUGACCAUUUGUUUGAAAAACUAAAGGAGUAACUCCUUAGUACUGAUUCUCCAUAUUUUUUUUUUUUUUUUGAGACGCAGUUUUGCUCUUGUUGCCCAGGCUGGAGUGCAAUGGCACGAUCUCGGCUCACUGCAACCUCCACCUCCUGGGUUCAAGUGAUUCUCCUACCUUAGUCUCCCAAGUAGCUGGGAUUACAGGCAUGUGCUACCACCCAACUAAUUUUUGUAUUUUUAGUAGAGACAGGGUUUUACCCCAUUGGCCAGUCUGGUCUCAAUCUCCUGACGUCACGUGAUCCACCUGCCUCGGCUUCCCAAAGUGCUGAGAUUACAGGUGUGAGCCACCAUGCCCAGCCUGAUUCUCCAUAAUUUAAACAAGCAGCUUGUUUCCUUCACUCCUGUGAGCCAAAGUAGGCCAGGAUAACCACACACUGGGAGAGAAAUGACUGCUCUGGCAGUGGCUCAUGCUUUUUUCAAUAUAUCGAUUUGAAGGACAGUAACUUUGAGCCAUGAGGAGUGGGAGAUAUGAUAACCCAAGAAAAGGAUGCCCUAUGUUUUUGUAACUUACCUGCCCUUAAAAAUAAAUGAGCCUGGGAUCACACAAAACUGUCCUUCGAGGAAAAAAGGUCUCGGGAGGUAGGUAAGUGUUGUUCAACAUGGGUGGGGUUAAGUGCUUAGAUACAAUGAGCGAUGGUGGGCAGUGUUCUAUUCCAGUUGCAUGCAGAGACAAGAGUUUGAAGGCUCUCUUCUCUGUAAUCUUCAUCCUCUAAGUGGCCUGAUGCUAACUCUGUAAAAUUUUUACAGAGAGCAAGAAGUAGAACUCAUAACAAGGAAGCCUAGAGGUCCUAGAGCCUCUCCUAGAGGAUUAGGAAAGGUCUGAGGCAUGAGAUACUAUAUGGGAAGAUAGCCCUUUCUGGGAUUUGAGAGUGAAAUAACCCUGGGUAAGAGGAUACACUGGGCACUCGGAAAAAAGGAAUGCCUGCUAAAGCAAAGGGUGCCAAAGAUAAACUUGACCUGAUUGUCUAGAGCCGAGCCCAGUGAGUUUAAAGAGUAGGGGACAAGAGUUAAUAGGAAGGAAAAGAAUUUUCCUGCUCUAUCUGCCUUCCUACCAUUUAUUGACUCAUUUGCACAUGAAAUAUUUAAAGAAUCACGACAGGGAGCUGAAGGAGCUACAGAAAAGAGUUUCUGCCCUCAAGUAAUUUGUAAUCCUGAGGGACUCUGAUGCUGUACUAAGUUAUGUCUUGUUGCUAAGACAUAAAACAGUCAGCGAAACAAUACAAUGUCCUUCCCCAGAUCCGCCCCACCCGCUCCCCAACACUACCCUUAAGGGCUGUUCAUCCUACACACUCUUAAUUAUUUCAGACUCAUGAAAAUCCACAGGUAUUGAUUUUACAAAGAAUGCAGCAAUAUUCUUUCAAAUGAUUUCCCUAUGUGUUCCCAGUGCACAGAGAAAUAUAUCCACAUGUUCAAUCACUUACCUAUUAUAUAAAGCAGGGCUGUUCAAAUAUGUUUUUUCUUCUUAGCAGUUGAACUUCUUUUCAAACAAAUUUUACAGAGAAUAGCCACACGUAAAAUAUGAAAACAGAGCAAUUCUGACUAAGAUAGCGUGGGGGUAAAAACUUUGACUUAGCUCUUUUUUCAUCCAUUUUCUAAUGAGACCCAUGAAAUACCUCUGUCAGUGUGUCAGGGUGGCUGUAACAAAAUACUUGCAACUAGGUGGCCUAUAAACAACAGAAUUUUAUAUUUCACAGUUCUGGAAGCUGGCAAGUCCACGACCAAGGCAAUAGCAGAUUGGCGUCUGGUGAGGACUUGCUUCCUGGUUCACAGAUGGCAACUUGUCACUGUGUCCUCACAUGGUAGAAGGGGUGAGCUAGCUCCCUGAGGCCUCUUUUAUGAGGGCACCAAUUCCAUUCAAGAGGACUCUGCCUGCAUGAUCUAAUCACCUCCCAAAGUUUCACCUCCUAAUACCAUCAUCCUGGGAGUUAGAAUGUCAACAUAUGAAUUUUUAGAGGACAUGAACAUUCAGUCCAUUGCAACUGCAUUCUGCAAAAUGCAGUUCAAAAAGCAUCAAUGUAAAAUAUUUUGUGUAAAAUCAUUG
rnacentral:lncRNA from 1 species